GAUCCUGGCUCAGAACGAACGCUGGCGGCGUGCCUAACACAUGCAAGUCGUACGAGAAAUCCUGGGUAACUGGGAAAGUAGAGUGGCGCACGGGUGAGUAACACGUGGGUAACCUACCCUUAGAUUUGGGAUAACUCCGCGAAAGCGGGGCUAAUACCCGAUGAUAUUCUGAUUCCCAAGGGAGUCGGAAUCAAAGAUGGCCUCUGCAUGCAAGCUAUCGUCAAAGGAUGGGCCCGCGUACCAUUAGCUAGUUGGUAGGGUAACGGCCUACCAAGGCAACGAUGGUUAGCUGGUCUGAGAGGAUGGCCAGCCACACUGGAACUGAGACACGGUCCAGACUCCUACGGGAGGCAGCAGUGGGGAAUCUUGCGCAAUGGGGGAAACCUUGACGCAGCAACGCCGCGUGGGUGAUGAAGGCCUUCGGGUCGUAAAGCCCUGUCAGGUGGGAAGAAACGUAUCGGUGCUAAUACCACCGAUAUUUGACGGUACUACCGGAGGAAGCACCGGCUAACUCCGUGCCAGCAGCCGCGGUAA
rnacentral:rRNA from 1 species